rnacentral:rRNA from 1 species
CCUACGGGAGGCAGCAGUGGGGAAUAUUGGACAAUGGGCGAAAGCCUGAUCCAGCAAUGCCGCGUGAGUGAUGAAGGCCUUCGGGUCGUAAAGCUCUUUUACCAGGGAUGAUAAUGACAGUACCUGGAGAAUAAGCUCCGGCUAACUCCGUGCCAGCAGCCGCGGUAAUACGGAGGGAGCUAGCGUUGUUCGGAAUUACUGGGCGUAAAGAGUACGUAGGCGGUUAUUCAAGUCAGAGGUGAAAGCCCGGGGCUCAACCCCGGAACUGCCUUUGAAACUAGAUAACUAGAGUCUUGGAGAGGUUAGUGGAAUUCCGAGUGUAGAGGUGAAAUUCGUAGAUAUUCGGAAGAACACCAGUGGCGAAGGCGACUAACUGGACAAGUACUGACGCUGAGGUACGAAAGCGUGGGGAGCAAACAGGAUUAGAUACCCUGGUAGUCCACGCCGUAAACGAUGAUAACUAGUUGUUCGGUACUACUGUGACUGAGUGACGC